rnacentral:rRNA from 1 species
GAUGAACGCUGGCGGCGUGCCUCAAACAUGCAAGUCGAGCGGGGCUAUGUAAUAUCGCAAGGUAGAACAUAGCCUAGCGGCGAACGGGUGAGUAACACGUGGGUAACCUGCCUGGAAGACAGGGAUAACGAUUCGAAAGGGUCGCUAAUACCUGAUAAUAUCCUUUCAUCGCAUGGUGAUAGGAAGAAAGGGGAAACCCGCUUUCAGAUGGGCCCGCGUCCCAUCAGCUAGUUGGUAAGGUAAAGGCUUACCAAGGCGACGACGGGUAGCCGGUCUGAGAGGAUGUACGGCCACACUGGGACUGAGAUACGGCCCAGACUCCUACGGGAGGCAGCAGUUGGGAAUCUUAGGCAAUGGACGAAAGUCUGACCUAGCGACGCCGCGUGAGGGAAGAAAGGGCCUUCGGGUUGUAAACCUCUGUCAUGGGGGAAGAAGUAAGUGACGGUACCCAAGAGGAAGCCCCUGCUAACUACGUG